rnacentral:rRNA from 1 species
GUGUCAGCAGCCGCGGUAAUACAGAGGGUGCGAGCGUUAAUCGGAAUUACUGGGCGUAAAGCGCACGUAGGCGGCUUCGUAAGUCGGAUGUGAAAUCCCCGGGCUCAACCUGGGAACUGCAUUCGAGACUGCGAAGCUCGAGUAUGGGAGAGGACAGCGGAAUUCCGGGUGUAGCGGUGAAAUGCGUAGAUAUCCGGAGGAACAUCAGUGGCGAAGGCGGCUGUCUGGCCCAAUACUGACGCUCAGGUGCGAAAGCGUGGGGAGCAAACAGGAUUAGAUACCCGUGUAGUCC